rnacentral:rRNA from 1 species
CCUACGGGGGGCAGCAGUGAGGAAUAUUGGUCAAUGGGCGGGAGCCUGAACCAGCCAAGCCGCGUGAGGGAAGAAGGUACAGCGUAUCGUAAACCUCUUUUGUCAGGGAGCAAUUGGCGCUACGUGUAGCGUUAUCGAGAGUACCUGAAGAAAAAGCAUCGGCUAACUCCGUGCCAGCAGCCGCGGUAAUACGGAGGAUGCGAGCGUUAUCCGGAUUUAUUGGGUUUAAAGGGUGCGUAGGCGGAAUGCCAAGUCAGCGGUAAAAUCGCGGGGCUCACCCUCGCUCCGCCGUUGAAACUGGCGUU